rnacentral:rRNA from 1 species
AAACCAGCACCUCAAGUGGUCAGGAUGAUUAUUGGGCCUAAAGCAUCCGUAGCCUGCUCUGUAAGUUUUCGGUUAAAUCUGUACGCUCAACGUACAGGCUGCCGGGAAUACUGCAGAGCUAGGGAGUGGGAGAGGUAGACGGUACUCGGGAGGAAGGGGUAAAAUCCUUUGAUCUCUCGAUGACCACCUGUGGCGAAGGCGGUCUACCAGAACACGUCCGACGGUGAGGGAUGAAAGCUGGGGGAGCAAACCGGAUUAGAAACCCCAGUAGUCC